GGCGAGUGAAGCGGCAACAGCUCAAAUUUGAAAUCUGGCUCUUUCAGAGUCCGAGUUGUAAUUUGCAGAGGGCGCUUUGGCGUUGGCAGCGGUCCAAGUUCUUUGGAACAGGACGUCACAGAGGGUGAGAAUCCCGUACGUGGUCGCUAGCCAUCACCGUGUAAAGCCCCUUCGACGAGUCGAGUUGUUUGGGAAUGCAGCUCUAAAUGGGAGGUAAAUUUCUUCUAAAGCUAAAUACUGGCCAGAGACCGAUAGCGCACAAGUAGAGUGAUCGAAAGAUGAAAAGCACUUUGGAAAGAGAGUCAAAUAGCACGUGAAAUUGUUGAAAGGGAAGCGCUUGCAGCCAGACUUGCCUGUAGUUGCUUACCUAGACUUUUGUCUGGGGCACUCUUCUGCAGGCAGGCCAGCAUCAGUUUGGGCGGUUGGAUAAAGGUCUCUGUCACGUACCUCCCUUCGGGGAGGCCUUAUAGGGGAGACGUAAUGCAACCAGCCUGGACUGAGGUCCGCGCAUCUGCUAGGAUGCUGGCGUAAUGGCUGUAAGCGGCCCGUCUUGAAACACGGACCAAGGAGUCUAACAUCUAUGCGAGUGUUUGGGUGUCAAGCCCAUACGCGUAAUGAAAGUGAACGGAGGUGGGAACCUUAGGGUGCACCAUCGACCGAUCCUGAUGUCUUCGGAUGGAUUUGAGUAAGAGCAUGGCUGUUGGGACCCGAAAGAUGGUGAACUAUGCUUGAAUAGGGUGAAGCCAGAGGAAACUCUGGUGGAGGCUCGCAGCGGUUCUGACGUGCAAAUCGAUCGUCAAAUUUGGGCAUAGGGGCGAAAGACUAAU
rnacentral:rRNA from 1 species